rnacentral:rRNA from 1 species
UACGGGGGGGGCAAGCGUUGUUCGGAAUUACUGGGCGUAAAGGGCUCGUAGGCGGCCAACUAAGUCGGAUGUGAAAUCCCCAGGCUUAACCUGGGAAUUGCAUCCGAUACUGAAUGGCUUGAAUCCGGGAGAGGGAUGCGGAAUUCCAGGUGUAGCGGUGAAAUGCAUAGAUAUCUGGAGGAACACCGGUGGCGAAGGCGGCAUCCUGGACCGGCAUUGACGCUGAGGAGCGAAAGCCAAAGGAGCAAACGGG